GACGAACGCUGGCGGCGUGCUUAACACAUGCAAGUCGAACGGAAAGGCCCCCAUCUUGGUGGGGGUGCUCGAGUGGCGAACGGGUGAGUAACACGUGGGUGAUCUGCCCUGUACUUCGGGAUAAGCUUGGGAAACUGGGUCUAAUACCGGAUAGGACCAUGGUUUAGUGUCUCAUGGUGGAAAGAUUAUUGUUUUGGUGCAGGAUGAGCUCGCGGCCUAUCAGCUUGUUGGUGGGGUAAUGGCCUACCAAGGCGUCGACGGGUAGCCGGCCUGAGAGGGUGGACGGCCACAUUGGGACUGAGAUACGGCCCAGACUCCUACGGGAGGCAGCAGUGGGGAAUAUUGCACAAUGGGCGCAAGCCUGAUGCAGCGACGCCGCGUGGGGGAUGACGGCCUUCGGGUUGUAAACUCCUUUCGUUAGGGACGAAGCCACGCUUGUUGGGUGUGGUGACGGUACCUUUGUGAAGAAGCACCGGCUAACUACGUG
rnacentral:rRNA from 1 species